rfam:Oryza sativa (indica cultivar-group) chromosome 11, whole genome shotgun sequence.
AUCCCAAGAUGAGGAUAGGCGACCAUAUAUUCCUGAAGUCGUUCCCACGCCCCAUUAAUGGACUCAUCCCUCGUCUGCUGAAAACUUAGGAUUCUCCCACGAAGGGC